rnacentral:rRNA from 2 species
UUGACCUCAGAUCAGGUAGGACUACCCGCUGAACUUAAGCAUAUCAAUAAGCGGAGGAAAAGAAACUAACGAGGAUUCCCCUAGUAACUGCGAGUGAAGCGGGAAAAGCUCAAAUUUCGAAUCUGGCGUCCUCCGGUCGUCCGAGUUGUAAUCUAGAGAAGCGUCUUCCGCGCUGGACCGUGUACAAGUCUCCUGGAAGGGAGCAUCGUAGAGGGUGACAAUCCCGUCUCUGACACGGACCCCCCCAGUGCUAUGUGAUGCGCUCUCGACGAGUCGAG